UAGCCUUGACAUUGAUAGAAUACACCAGAGAUGGAGUAGUGCCUUUCGGGGAACUUGAAAACAGGUGCUGCACGGCUGUCGUCAGCUCGUGUCGUGAGAUGUUGGGUUAAGUCCCGCAACGAGCGCAACCCUCGUCACUAGUUACUAACGGUUCGGCCGAGGACUCUAGUGAGACUGCCUUCGUAAGGAGGAGGAAGGUGAGGACGACGUCAAGUCAUCAUGGCCCUUACGGCUAGGGCAACACACGUGCUACAAUGGCCAGGACAGUGAGACGCGAUACCGCGAGGUGGAGCAAAUCUAUAAACCUGGUCUCAGUUCGGAUUGUAGUCUGCAACUCGACUACAUGAAGCUGGAAUCACUAGUAAUCGUAGAUCAGCUAUGCUACGGUGAAUACGUUCCCGGGUCU
rnacentral:rRNA from 1 species